CGGGUGAGUAACACGUAUCCAACCUGCCGUCUACUCUUGGACAGCCUUCUGAAAGGAAGAUUAAUACAAGAUGGCAUCAUGAGUCCACAUGUUCACAUGAUUAAAGGUAUUCCGGUAGACGAUGGGGAUGCGUUCCAUUAGAUAGUAGGCGGGGUAACGGCCCACCUAGUCUUCGAUGGAUAGGGGUCCUGAGAGGAAGGUCCCCCACAUUGGAGCUGAGACACGGUCCAA
rnacentral:rRNA from 1 species